rnacentral:tRNA from 2 species
CGGGAUAUAGUAUAGUGGUAGUACGCGAGCAUGGGGUGUUUGUAGCGGCGGUUCGAUUCCGCCUAUCCCGA